UUUUAAUUUAAUUCUAAACAUCAACAUUAUAAUUUAAAUUUAUAAAAUAACCAAUAAAUUCAUAUGUUAUAAAUUAUAGAUAUAUCAUACGUAUACUUGGGGUUCAUAAAUUAUAGUCUAGAAAUUCAUAAGUUAAAUAAAAAUAUAUUCAUAUAUUAAAAUAGAUUUAUCAGUAAAAAUUAAUAAAUAUACAAUUCAUAUUUAAAAAAUUCAACACCAAUGAAUAUAUACUUUAUAUGUAAUAUCUAGAUUUAAAAAAAUAAAUAAAUAAAAAUAAUAUAUAUAUAUAUAUAUAUUUUUUUUUUUUUUCUUUUUUUCCUUUUUCUUUUUUUCCUUCUCCCUUCUCCCUCCUCCCCGCCGACUGCCCUCUCCCCCUCCGCCUGCGUGCCGCCCAGCUUGCCGCCACCGUCCAGCAGCGUCUCUCCUCUCCUCCCGCUGCCGCGCGCCGCCUUCCCCUCCUCCCUCCUUUUCGCCGACGCUGACGAAGGACGAAGAGGCUGCCAUCGUCGAUUCGGCCUCCUGCUGGCGUCCUUUCGGCAAUCCGACGCUGGAUUCGGACUCCUCACCCCCGAAACCCACGGAGCAAGUCUCCCCCGCCGAUUUCCUCCAACGGCAACUUCAGAGGAGCUUCACCAGAGCAGCCCCUUUCCAGCCCCCAAUCCGAUGCCUUCCAGCGAGUUUCCGGCCGAAACUCUCGUGUUUUCGGACUCCCCGCAGCUCGAGUUUCACCCAGGCUCUUCCGGAUUUAAAUUCCGACACCGUUGGCAGGACCGGCUUCCGGACGUCCGAAAUAUUGCAAUUUCAACUCAAUAUAAUUUUAUUUAAAC
rnacentral:lncRNA from 1 species